GUGUCAGCCGCCGCGGUAAUACGGAGGGUGCAAGCGUUAUCCGGAUUCAUUGGGUUUAAAGGGUGCGACAGGCGGAUACUUAAGUCAGUGGUGAAAUCCCGGGGCUCAACCCCGGAACUGCCAUUGAUACUGAAUAUCUGGAAUACGGUUGAAGUGGGCGGAAUGUAGCAUGUAGCGGUGAAAUGCAUAGAGAUGCUAACAGAACACCGAUCGCGAAGGCAGCUCACUAAGCCGAUAUUGACGCUCAGGCACGAAAGCGUGGGGAGCGAACAGGAUUAGAUACCCUGGUAGUCCACGCCGUAAACGAUGAUAACGUCGUUGUUGGCGACACACAGUCAGCGACUAAGCGAAAGCGAUAAGUUAUCCACCUGGGGAGUACGAUCGCAAGGUUGAAACUCAAAUGAAUUAGCGG
rnacentral:rRNA from 1 species